rnacentral:rRNA from 2 species
GACGAACGCUGGCGGCGUGCCUAACACAUGCAAGUCGAGCGGGGGGAGAGAGCUUGCUCUUGAACCAAGCGGCGGACGGGUGAGUAACACGUGGGGAACCUGCCCUGUACAGCGGGAUAGCCAGCCGAAAGGCUGAUUAAUACCGCAUAAAUCACUUUCACGGCAUCGUGGAAGUGGCAAAGGAGUAACAUCCGGUACAGGAUGGCCCCGCGGCCCAUUAGUUAGUUGGUGAGGUAACGGCCCACCAAGGCAGCGAUGGGUAGCCGAUCUAAGAGGAUGAACGGCCACAUUGGAACUGAGACACGGUCCAGACUCCUACGGGAGGCAGCAGUGGGGAAUAUUGCGCAAUGGGGGAAACCCUGACGCAGCAACGCCGCGUGGAGGAAGAAGGUUUUCGGAUCGUAAACUCCUGUCAUCAGGGACGAUAAUGACGGUACCUGAGGAGGAAGCCACGGCUAACUACGUGCCAGCAGCCGCGGUAAUACGUAGGUGGCGAGCGUUGUCCGGAAUUACUGGGCGUAAAGGGUGCGUAGGCGGUAAGUAAAGUCCGAUGUGAAAUUCCGGAGCUUAACUUCGGAAGUGCAUUAGAAACUUACUUACUAGAGUGCAGGAGAGGGAAGCGGAAUUCCUAGUGUAGCGGUGAAAUGCGUAGAUAUUAGGAAGAACACCAGUGGCGAAGGCGGCUUUCUGGACUGUAACUGACGCUGAUGCACGAAAGCGUGGGGAGCAAACAGGAUUAGAUACCCUGGUAGUCCACGCUGUAAACGAUGAGUGCUAGGUGUAGGAGGUAUCGACUCCUUCUGUGCCGCAGUAAACGCAAUAAGCACUCCGCCUGGGGAGUACGGUCGCAAGACUAAAACUCAAAGGAAUUGACGGGGGCCCGCACAAGCAGCGGAGCAUGUGGUUUAAUUCGAAGCAACGCGAAGAACCUUACCAGGUCUUGACAUCGUCUGCAUAUCUUAGAGAUAAGAGAAACCCUUCGGGGCAGAUAGACAGGUGGUGCAUGGUUGUCGUCAGCUCGUGUCGUGAGAUGUUGGGUUAAGUCCCGCAACGAGCGCAACCCUUGUAAUUAGUUGCUAACACGCUAUGGUGAGCACUCUAAUUAGACUGCCAGGGACAACCUGGAGGAAGGUGGGGAUGACGUCAAAUCAUCAUGCCCCUUAUGACCUGGGCUACACACGUGCUACAAUGGCUGACACAAAGAGAAGCGAACCAGCGAUGGGGAGCAAAACUUUAAAAAGCAGUCCCAGUUCGGAUUGAUGGCUGCAACCCGCCAUCAUGAAGCCGGAGUUGCUAGUAAUCGCGAAUCAGCAUGUCGCGGUGAAUACGUUCCCGGGCCUUGUACACACCGCCCGUCACACCAUGAGAGUCAGCAACACCCGAAGCCUGUGAGGUAACCAGCAAUGGAGCCAGCAGUCGAAGGUGGGGCGGAUGAUUGGGGUG